rfam:Gossypium raimondii chromosome 8, whole genome shotgun sequence.
CACCUAAAAACAAGGGCAUAGUAAGUAGUGAAAUGCUUCAGCAAGUUGAAAAUAAGCAUAGAUCUGAAGAUUCUCGAAUAGGUCAACCUUUUGAAUUGCUGCUGAAUCCAUGGUAGAGAAGAGGCAACUUGGAAAACUGAAACAUCUUAGUACUCGAAGGAAAAAAGGAAGAAGCAAAAGUGAUUCUCAUAGUAGCGGCAAUUGAAAUGGGAGCAGCCUAAAUCGUGAAACGAGAUUGUCGAAGAGCAAUAAAAGCAUUGUGCUGCUAGGCCAAGCAUG